UACGUAGGGGGCUAGCGUUAUCCGGAUUUACUGGGCGUAAAGGGCGCGUAGGUGGUUUCUUAAGUCAGAGGUGAAAGGCUACGGCUCAACCGUAGUAAGCCUUUGAAACUGGGAAACUUGAGUGCAGGAGAGGAGAGUGGAAUUCCUAGUGUAGCGGUGAAAUGCGUAGAUAUAUGGAGGAACACCAGUGGCGAAGGCGACUCUCUGGUCUGUAACUGACGCUGAGGCUCGAAAGCGUGGGGAGCAAACAGGAUUAGAUACCCCUGUAGUCCCUGAG
rnacentral:rRNA from 1 species